AUGGAAUUUCAUUCGUGAGCUUUUACAUCGUUUGCCUUUUUAUAUUUGGUUGGUAAACUUUGAAGUUUGCAUUUUCUGUUGUUUCUCAAUUACAAAUCUGAUUCAGUACCCUGUUUGUCUAUUAUGUCUAAUUCUGGUACUGAAAACUUGUCUAAGCUUGGUUGGCUUUGGAGGGGAAAAUGGUAGGCAGCGGUGAGAGAGGGAACUUAUAUUGAGGUGUGCAUAAUUGGGUUAUGUUAUUUUGUGCAAAAUCCUUUGUGCAUCAAGUAACUUGUUUCUUUUUGUCUUGUUCAUUGUGAUCGCUACUCUUUCCUGUAAAAAAAAGACGUGACCGCUACUCUUUGGUGCUUCAUGAUGGGCUUUGCUCGUUAUGCAUAUAGCAACAUUGAGAUCCUGAAUCCACAUGGAAGAGGCAGUUUCCUGCGGCUCAGUUAUUUAAGCAAGACAGGGAAAGAUACAAGUGUUGUUUGGAAGAAGAAUGUAUAUUAUUGGUUUUCAUUGAAAUUUUGGAUGGUUAUAGAGGAACCUGGUCUCAUUUAGUCUUACUAUGUAGUGUAGGUUAAUACUUUCUUUUUUCCUUUUAUCCUUUUUCCCUUUUAGCUUCAUUUCCUAUCUUCUUUCUAUGUUUAUUUCUUGCUGUACAAUGGUUCUAAAUAUUAACCUCUUUGUUAGGUAAUCAUCUCAAAUGUGUGUGUGUGUGUGUAAAAUAACCACCUAUAGAAUACCACCUAAGAAUUGUUUUGAAAAGCCUUCAAAAUCGAAGCCACAAAGAAACAUGAUAUUUAAGAAGGGAUAAAAUCUUGCUAGGGACCCUCUCCACACCUCUAAAUUCUAUUCUUCCGCUCACUCCACACUGCCUACAAGAUAGCAGACACACUCGGAAGCCAUAGAAAGUGGCAUUUCUCCCCAUGGGGCAAGUUAAGAAGGGAAUUCUUGAGCAACGCUCCAACAUCUGUGUGCCUUGCAACCAUAAUGCAAAAAGUUUGAAACAAAGAAUCACAAACCAAGCUGACUAACUCACAACGACAAAGAAUGUGCUCUGCUCUUCCUCAGCCUUGACAAAGAAUGCAAUAGAAAGGACCCAUGAAGGAAGGCAACUUCCUCUUAAGUCGAUCCAUCAUGUUAGCCUAGCCAAGAACUCCUCAAAAGGAUCAGGUUCCAGAUCCUCACAUCUCUUCUCCCAAGUCUAGAAGGGUGACCCUAAAGUAAAGAAAGAAGAGCAGCCACCACCACCAUUUCUCACGACAGAACCUGAAA